ACCACUGUAGCGCAAUGGAUAGCGCGUUGGACUUUUAGUUCAAAUGCCGUGGGUUCGAAUCCCACCUGGGAUGGCC